CUAUCGAGUGUUGAUGUUGAACAUGUGACCGCCAAUAAAUGAAGAAGAAGAAGAAUCUUGAACCAGAUUAGCGGGAUUUUUUCGACAGGAUGUCAAAGAUGUUUUUAAACUACGUUAUCUGCCAAAUUUUCACAAGAGGAGAAGACAAUUGUGAUGAGGGAGGAGAGGCCUAAGCAGAGAGUGCAGUGCACAACUGCGCACAAAACAAGGAGACGAAGCAGAAGAACGAGGAAGAUAGAGCCAUGGCGACGCCGACGACGAGUAAGAUGAAGAAAUACGCUUGUAAGUUCCAAGCCGUAGCUGCGAUUGGACACUGGAUAGCCUCCGGGAAGAAGUAGUGGACUACCAAGUGCUUGGCAGUGAAGAUGUUCCUCAGGGAGCAACGAUUGACCGGUUUUGGGCCAUGCUAGGGAGAGAUGGAAUAUUCCAGACUCUAGUGCAUUUGAUGAAAGCACUUUUGUACGUGCCACACAGCAUGGUUAGAAAAAUAGUGACAGAGAAUAGAACAAGGAUGGACAAUUCAGUCCUUAACUCAACAAUGAGUAGAAGAGUGUUAUGUGUGUGUAUAUGUGUAAAUAAAUGAACACUGGAAUUUAAGUAUUUCUUUUAUAGAUUUCAGAAGAAUGAAAUAAGUGGCUUGCUUGUUCACAACCAAAGGAGAUAUAAUAAUGCAAUAAGUUUGGUAAUUGUAGUCCUCCUUUAUCUUGUGUACAAGACAACUUUAUGUAUGAACAUCUGGCCUUCUUUCCACACCAUAUAAAAUGUGAUAUCAUUGUAUGUAUUUUCUUAAACCAACUUUUAUUAAUUAGGACAGGCAUCAUUUUCAGUAUAUAAUUAACUGCUGGCAGUAUACUAAUUUUGACUAUGUUCACCCGCGACCCCAAAGUCAUAUUUGGAGACGUGACCAGCGUUCCAUUUUAGGUUCUAUCUUAUUUUUUAAAUGUUUAAGAUUUAGAUCUCUGCUUGUAUAAAGGUUUGGUGUAAUAUGUAGUCCUAGACAUAAGAUUU